GACGGCGUUGCAGCAAAAACGUUUAAUUGCCGUCAAAUUUGUCCUGUUGUUUGUCCUACUGGUGAGAUUGAGGAGCUCUCAUGGUUACAAGGAACGCCAAAUUGUCCUUUCCAAAUGUGUGUAUUGAACUGACCAAAUGGAAGACCACACUUCCCAGCGAGGAUAUUGGCAGUAUAGAGCUGCCAGGUAAUGUGCAGAGGCUGGAGAGUCUUCUGCAGUCAGGACUGCCUGUGCUAGGCCCUACUCCAGCCAAGUCAAAUCCUGGUGCUUGUCUGCAUCAAUAGACACUGGGCCUGAACACAUUCAGUGACUGGGGUUCAGUCAUCAAAAGGCACUCCAGUUAAGCUGUCCAUCCCAAGAAAGACUUAGGAUAUAACAAGGGGUGCCAAGGCCAGACUCCCAUUUCUGAUUGACAGCAAUGUCGGGCAAAAGUUAAACAACGCAACCAAGAACAAAAAAAAAAGAUGCUUAAGAUGUUGUUUGGUGUUUUUAAGGAAUUUGUAUGCAUUGUAUUAAUAUAUCUUGUAGUAUCCUAUACUGCAGUGUUAGAAAAUUUACUACAGUAAUGGCUACAGUAAUUUGUCUAUAUUACUAUAGUAGAAUUACCACAGCAAAUUACCAUUCAUAAUUUAGUACAAUUUACUGCAGUAUCUUUGCUAUAGUAUGCACUGUAAAAAAUAAGUGUAAUUUUAACUGUAAAAUUUUGUAAAAACACUACUGAAAAAAACUGUUAAUAUGUUAACAGUGAGUUCCUGUACUAUAUACAGGGAAAAACUGUAAAAGAUCUAACCAGACAUUUCAUGUAAUUUCACAGCAAAAUGCUGUUAAUUGUACAGUUUUUAGAAGUAAAAAUAACAAAUCAAUGUAUCAUUUACAGUCAAAAACUGUAAACUGAUAAUCCCAGAAUUCCCUGCGUGACACUCCACAUUUGAAAGUAUUUUGUUUAAAUAAUCAUGUUUUUUAAUAGUUUUUGUUAUCAGUUAUGUACAUUUGGGCUUUAUGUUACAUCUUCUGUUGUUUAAUGAAAGUUUAUUGCAUUAUUUAAAUAUCAUGUGUGUUACCACGAUGGUGUUUUGUGUUUGCAUGAAUGACUCUGUGCACCUUCUAUAUAUUAGUAUAUACUUCUACUUGUGGUGAAGCUACCUGUGAUGAGCUUUGA